GCCACCAUAGCAGCCAAUUCUGUGUAGAGUUCCAAUGUGGCCCGUGACACUCCAGUCUCCAGCAUAAAAAUAUUCACAACAUCUAAGAUCCCAUAACCACCAGGUUGCCGCGCUAAGGAUCCAGUGGCAUGUUGCUGGUGCCCAUGCUUAUUACCUUGUUGGUGGUUUUGGUUCUCCUGGCGCUACUACUGUUGUGGUACAAGAGGCGGAGGACUGGGACUCUGACCCUGAGAAGAGGUGGAAAACGGAAUGGGAGGGUGAGUGCCUGGGCUGGGCCAACCCCGUUUCCUGAUGAUCGGGCCCCAACUGUAUCAGAGUUAUGGGGCCACAUGGACUCUGAGGUACCGAAGUCAGAAAGCUACAGGCAGCGGCCCUCGUUCACUACUUUCUUGGACAGACAGAAGUCUCAUCAGAGCUCUGUAGUACUAAAAGAGGUGAAGCCUGUGUCGGGUCCCAACCUGAAGGGGGAGGAAGAGCCACUUAUGGCCAGUAAGGCUGAAGCUGUGGAAAACCCAACUUCUGACCAGCCCACAAGGCAAAGAUGAGGCUGCGCCUCAAUCUCAAGGAGCAACAGAUGAUCACCCAGAUCUUCUCCUUCAACCUUCCUCCCCUUCAUCUUGUUAACCUGGACCCCAACUGCAGCAGUCAUUCCUUGGUGAAUCCUCCAGUCAAGCCUGCCAGAGAAACACACAGGUCACGUAAGCAGUGGCCUCCCUCCCUCAGCCGAAGCACCUGCACGGAAACAGAGCCAUAAUCCCUUCCCUACUGAACUUCCCAAUCAAGGUCAAAUAGAUUCUCUUUCCUUAUCC